rnacentral:rRNA from 1 species
AUCGAACGCUGGCGGCAGGCCUAACACAUGCAAGUCGAGCGAGCGGCGGACGGGUGAGUAAUGUCUGGGGAACUGCCCGAUGGAGGGGGAUCACUACUGGAAAAGGUAGCUAAUAACGCAUACCAUCAGCAGUGCCCAGAUGGGAUUAGCUAGUGGGUGGGGUAACGGCUCACCUAGGCGACGAUCCCUAGCUGGUCUGAGAGGAUGACCAGCCACACUGGAACUGAGACACGGUCCAGACUCCUACGGGAGGCAGCAGUGGGGAAUAUUGCACAAUGGGCGCAAGCCUGAUGCAGCCAUGCCGCGUGUGUGAAGAAGGCUUUCGGGUUGUAAAGCUCUGUCAUCGGGGAGGCGUUACCCUAAGAAGAAGCACCGGCUAACUCCGUGCCAGCAGCCGCGGUAAUAC